UACAGAGGGUGCAAGCGUUAAUCGGAAUUACUGGGCGUAAAGGGUGCGUAGGUGGUUUGAUAAGUUAGGUGUGGAAGCCCCGGGCUUAACCUGGGAAUUGCGCCUAAUACUGUUAAGCUAGAGUACUGUAGAGGGAGGUGGAAUUUCCGGUGUAGCGGUGAAAUGCGUAGAUAUCGGAAGGAACACCAGUGGCGAAGGCGACUUCCUGGACAGAUACUGACACUGAGGCACGAAAGCAUGGGGAGCAAACAGG
rnacentral:rRNA from 1 species